rnacentral:rRNA from 1 species
UACAGAGGUCCCGAGCGUUGUUCGGAUUCAUUGGGCGUAAAGGGUGCGUAGGCGGCGGGGCAAGUCUGAUGUGAAAUCCCGGGGCUCAACCCCGGAACUGCAUUGGAUACUGCCUUGCUAGAGUACUGGAGAGGGAACUGGAAUUUACGGUGUAGCAGUGAAAUGCGUAGAGAUCGUAAGGAAGGCCAGUGGCGAAGGCGAGUUCCUGGGACAGUUACUGACGUGAGGCACGAAGGCCAGGGGGAGCAAACGGG